rnacentral:lncRNA from 1 species
UGUGUGUUAUUAAUUUUAAGAGUCUUACCUGCUGAUUUGAAAUGUUACUUCCUUGUCAUUCACUUUACUAUCCUGUAGAAUCCCAGCAAGACUUCUGUUUUCUUGUUCUCACGUCUGUUCUCUGUAGCUGCCCUCACAGCCUUUCCACUCCUCUGUCUACUAUGUCUUACAGUUGUUCUCACGUGGCUUCCAACUCACAAAUGCAGCCUUUGGGUGUCUAAUUCAUUGCUUAAUCCAGAUAUCUAUUAGAUGCUCAGUUUCGGAGUCUGUUCUUUUUAUUUUAAAUAUAGCUGUUGAGUUUUUAAAGGACUCCUCCUCAUAUGAUAAAUGCUAUAUGAUCUCUUUAAAUGGAUUAAAUAGUCUACUUUACUUCAAUAAUUCUAAAUACUUCGGCUUUUUAAAUCUACUUCUCAUCUCGUAUUUCUGCUAGUUGUCAUACAUAAAAGUUCACUCGUUCAUGCAAUGGUUUCCUUUUAAUUUUUGUAAUCCCUCUUCUUAGUAUUUUAUCUGAAGAAAUUACUUAUAUGCAAAUUCUAUUUUCUAUAGAAUUUGUUUUUGUUUUUGUUUUUUUAAUGCCCAAUCUACCUAUCAAGGGUCUAGUAUGAACUAUACGCUCAGCUUUUGGGUACCCACUGCAAUUGACACUUGUGAUUAGAAUUUUUGACAGAAAGAAAAUUGGUAUUGUCUUGGGUGCAUUUUCUUUUGUUGCAAUAAAGCUCUGAUGAAAGACACUUAACAGGGGUAAGGAUUAGUUUUCACUCACACUUCUAGGGUAAAGUCUGUCCUGCUGGGAAAGGCCAGGGAACAAGGGUGUGAGGCAGCUUGCCUGUUGGUGUCCACAGUCAAAUAUGCAGCACUGACAAUGGAGCCCACUAUUCAGACCCUUGUGCAUCUGUUCAGUCCAGUACCCCUGACUAAGACAUGAUGCCCUCACAGUUGGGACAGGGCUUCCUACAGAAUUUAACCUACUCUUUGUACCCCUCACAGGGAUGCCCAAAGGCUCCUUCCCUAAAUUCUGUCAAGUGGCCAAUCGGUGGAAGCCAUCACAGGUAUCUGCUUGGAAGACACAGGCUUAUCCUCAGUGAAAAUUUCCAUUCAGUGACUUUUGAGUUUAUUCUGUGUUGGGCUGUGAUUCUUUCUCUCACACACAGCACAUUGGCAAAUGCCUUUUGAAAAGCAUCAACUCUGAUAGCUCUUUCUGAAAAAAUUCUAUUUUCUUAGUGUCAAGAUUCAAAAACUCUUAAUUUAGAUUUUUCAUGCAAUUAUCCACUAUAAUUUUUUUGUAGCAAAUGUUAGUUGACCUCUAAAAUAAACAGAUAAGGCAACAGAUGUAAAUGCACAGCUUGGUGUAUUCCCACAGAGGGGACAAACCAUAGGGCCAGAGCUAGAUCAAAAAGCACAGCUUCUGUAACCUACAGAAGUGUCUUUGACAUGUCCUUCAAGGUAUUGUCCCUCCAGGGCGGUAACUGCUAUUCUGAAUUUCAAUACCAUCUUCAUGCUGCUCAUGAAGAGUGUUCCCUAGUCCCUCCUCGUUUAAUGUCUACCUUAUCUGGACAUCUUAUCUGUAAGAGCCAUCUGUCUUCUAUAUGCUUUUCGCUCAUUUUCUGUCUCAUAUAAAUAAGCCAUAUAUUUUUUGCCCAUUUUAUUGUUGAUAAACAUUGGAGCUUUUUUUAUUGUAAGUCAUUAUGAAUCACUCAGCUAUGAACGUUACUGUGCAUAUCUAGGUGUAUGGGAGUUAGUACUUCUGCCUAGUAGAUAGUUGAAGUUGCUUGUUCAUGAUGAUUGUAUACUCCAUAGGGCUGGCAAACUAUGGUUUUGGAGGUCGCUUUUACAACUUAGAUUCUGUCCAUGGCUGUCUCAGUGUUUGGCUUGUUCUCCACUCUAGCCAGUACUUUUCCUUUCCUUCAUUCUCCCUUUUCGUUUUCAUGGUGCUCUGCUGAUAGCUGCUGAUUCCAUAAAUUAAAUGUGUGUGUGUGUGUGUGUGUGUGUGUGUGUGUGUGUGUGUGUGUGUGUAUACAUACAUGUUUAACAAUGCAUUUGUAGCUAGAUCAUUGCUGGAAAGUAUUGUAUAAAAUCACCUAAUAAUUUUCACUUGGGAUCUCCAUUUUUGCCUUAAUUUCUCGUUAUUAUUUCACUACCCUUGAAGUGAUCCUUUCAUUUGCCCAUCCUGUCCUUGAGCUCCCCCCGCUGAUGAACAUGUGUAUCUGCAACAGUAGAGUCUUAGAUGAUGCUGUAUUUAAACAGAAAAUCCCAUUAUCCAAAACAGCAAGGCUGUGACAUCAAUUUAACGUAUUGACUUGGGAUAGAAGAAAUGUUGAAAUUAAUGCUUAAAGCUAGUAUCAUAAAUAUAGGAAAUCUCUAUGUUCCUCCUUCAUUUCACUAUCAAUUUAUAAUUCUAAAAACAAAUAAAAUAUUUAGAAUUGAUACUUUAGGGCUGGAGGCAGGGUACAGUGGUGCAGUAAUUUUCUAGAAUUCCAGAGAUCCAAUAUUUGAUCUCUGGCACCACAAAGAACAGAAACAUAUGAUAUGAACUAAUAAUUUCAAAUACCAAUUCUACUGGCAAUGUAGGCUAAUUUAUACCAGAUUUGAGUUGCUUAUUAUUUUCUGGCUUCAUAUUAUUAAAAGCCAGACAAACUAACUGAGCCAUAUGUUGUUUUCUGGGGUAUGGCUCCAAACACAUUGCCUUCAUUGGCAUGAACUGUUUCUCAUGGGAAUACACUAUCUAAGGUUUGGAGAUUUACUUUUUGCCUGUCAACAUUAAUCUCCUUAACAUUCAUUUUGGAAAUAGGGUCACAUACACCUAUACUAAUGCAUUGCAAGAAGCCAAUCAAGUGCAGGUGUAAAAAGAGCGAUUUUGUGUUUCUCUCGAUGCCUUAAGUUAAUGAUGCUGUUUGAACACAUUUUUGGAAAAGUACUAGUAAGAGAGCCAUUUCAGAGUCAGACAGGUGGAUGCUUCCAACCUCUGAUAAUGUUCAUGUCACUUCCCAUUCUCCACCUGUGCCUUCCCCAGUUAUUAAAACUGCAGCCUGCUUAGGCUCAGUUCUUUGUGGCCCUAAAAAGUAG